rnacentral:rRNA from 1 species
AUGAACGCUAGCGGCAGGCUUAACACAUGCAAGUCGAGGGGCAGCACGGGUAGCAAUACUUGGUGGCGACCGGCGCAAGGGUGCGUAACGCGUGAGCAACAUGCCCGUAUCAGGGGGAUAAUCCAGGGAAACUUGGUCUAAUACCCCAUAGCAAUUAAAGGAGGCAUCUUUUUAAUUUAAAGCUUUGGUGGAUACGGAUUGGCUCGCGUGACAUUAGCUAGAUGGUAAGGUAACGGCUUACCAUGGCUACGAUGUCUAGGGGGUUCUGAGAGGAAGAUCCCCCACACUGGAACUGAGACACGGUCCAGACUCCUACGGGAGGCAGCAGUGAGGAAUAUUGGACAAUGGAUGGAAAUCUGAUCCAGCCAUGCCGCGUGCAGGAAGACGGCCCUAUGGGUUGUAAACUGCUUUUGUAUGGGAGCAAUAAGGUCUAUGCGUAGACUGAUGAGAGUACCAUACGAAUAAGCAUCGGCUAACUCCGUG